GUGUUCUCUUUGGUAGCACAUAUAUUAAAAUUAGAAUAAUACAAAUAUUAGCAUGUCCUGUACAAGGAUGACACACAAAUUUAUAAAGCAUUCCACAUUUUU